GAGCGUUGUCCGGAAUUAUUGGGCGUAAAGGGAGCGUAGGCGGGAUAUCAAGUCAGCUGUGAAAUGUAGAUGCUCAACAUCUGCACUGCAGUUGAAACUGGUGUUCUUGAGUGCGUAAGAGGUAGGCGGAAUUCGUCGUGUAGCGGUGAAAUGCAUAGAUAUGACGAAGAACUCCGAUUGCGAAGGCAGCUUACUGGGCCGCAACUGACGCUGAAGCUCGAAGGUGCGGGUAUC
rnacentral:rRNA from 1 species